rnacentral:tRNA from 1 species
GCCGGUGUGGCUCAAUGGAUAGAGCAUCAGCCUGAGGACCUGAGAGUCCUGGGUUCGAUUUCAAUCAAGGGCA